rnacentral:rRNA from 1 species
UGGGGAAUUUUGCACAAUGGGGGAAACCCUGAUGCAGCGACGCCGCGUGAUUUAGAAGGCCUUCGGGUUGUAAAAAUCUUUUCUAUGGGAAGAAAAUGACAGUACCAUAGGAAUAAGGACCGGCUAAUUACGUGCCAGCAGCCGCGGUAAUACGUAAGGUCCGAGCGUUGUCCGGAAUCAUUGGGCGUAAAGGGUACGUAGGCGGGUAAGCAAGUUAGAAGUGAAAUCCUAUAGCUCAACUAUAGUAAGCUUUUAAAACUGCUCAUCUUGAGGUAUGGAAGGGAAAGUGGAAUUCCUAGUGUAGCGGUGAAAUGCGCAGAUAUUAGGAGGAAUACCGGUGGGGAAGGCGACUUUCUGGCCAUAACCUGACGCUGAGGUACGAAAGCGUGGGUAGCAAACAGG